CUUUCUACAGGCUUAACACAUGCAAGUCGAGGGGCAGCAUGGUCUUAGCUUGCUAAGGCCGAUGGCGACCGGCGCACGGGUGAGUAACACGUAUCCAACCUGCCGUCUACUCUUGGACAGCCUUCUGAAAGGAAGAUUAAUACAAGAUGGCAUCAUGAGUCCGCAUGUUCACAUGAUUAAAGGUAUUCCGGUAGACGAUGGGGAUGCGUUCCAUUAGAUAGUAGGCGGGGUAACGGCCCACCUAGUCUUCGAUGGAUAGGGGUUCUGAGAGGAAGGUCCCCCACAUUGGAACUGAGACACGGUCCAAACUCCUACGGGAGGCAGCAGUGAGGAAUAUUGGUCAAUGGGCGAGAGCCUGAACCAGCCAAGUAGCGUGAAGGAUGACUGCCCUAUGGGUUGUAAACUUCUUUUAUAAAGGAAUAAAGUCGGGUAUGGAUACCCGUUUGCAUGUACUUUAUGAAUAAGGAUCGGCUAACUCCGUGCCAGCAGCCGCGGUAAUACGGAGGAUCCGAGCGUUAUCCGGAUUUAUUGGGUUUAAAGGGAGCGUAGAUGGAUGUUUAAGUCAGUUGUGAAAGUUUGCGGCUCAACCGUAAAAUUGCAGUUGAUACUGGAUAUCUUGAGUGCAGUUGAGGCAGGCGGAAUUCGUGGUGUAGCGGUGAAAUGCUUAGAUAUCACGAAGAACUCCGAUUGCGAAGGCAGCCUGCUAAGCUGCAACUGACAUUGAGGCUCGAAAGUGUGGGUAUCAAACAGGAUUAGAUACCCUGGUAGUCCACACGGUAAACGAUGAAUACUCGCUGUUUGCGAUAUACUGCAAGCGGCCAAGCGAAAGCGUUAAGUAUUCCACCUGGGGAGUACGCCGGCAACGGUGAAACUCAAAGGAAUUGACGGGGGCCCGCACAAGCGGAGGAACAUGUGGUUUAAUUCGAUGAUACGCGAGGAACCUUACCCGGGCUUAAAUUGCAGAUGAAUUACGGUGAAAGCCGUAAGCCGCAAGGCAUCUGUGAAGGUGCUGCAUGGUUGUCGUCAGCUCGUGCCGUGAGGUGUCGGCUUAAGUGCCAUAACGAGCGCAACCCUUGUUGUCAGUUACUAACAGGUUCCGCUGAGGACUCUGACAAGACUGCCAUCGUAAGAUGUGAGGAAGGUGGGGAUGACGUCAAAUCAGCACGGCCCUUACGUCCGGGGCUACACACGUGUUACAAUGGGGGGUACAGAGGGCCGCUACCACGCGAGUGGAUGCCAAUCCCCAAAACCUCUCUCAGUUCGGACUGGAGUCUGCAACCCGACUCCACGAAGCUGGAUUCGCUAGUAAUCGCGCAUCAGCCACGGCGCGGUGAAUACGUUCCCGGGCCUUGUACACACCGCCCGUCAAGCCAUGGGAGCCGGGGGUACCUGAAGUGCGUAACCGCGAGGAGCGCCCUAGGGUAAAACUGGUGACUGG
rnacentral:rRNA from 1 species